rnacentral:rRNA from 1 species
AUACGUAGGGAGCGAGCGUUGUCCGGAAUUACUGGGCGUAAAGGGCGCGUAGGCGGCGCUUCAAGUCGUCUGUCAAAUGGAAGGGCUUAACCCUUUUUCGCAGACGAAACUGGAGAGCUUGAGAAGCAGAGAGGCAAACAGAAUUCCUGGUGUAGCGGUGAAAUGCGUAGAUAUCAGGAAGAAUACCAGUGGCGAAGGCGGUUUGCUGGCUGCAUACUGACGCUGAAGCGCGAAAGCCAGGGGAGCGAACGGGAUUAGAUACCCCGGUAGUCCCGGCAGUAAACGAUGUAUGCUGGGUGUGAGACUAGCGAUAGUUUCGUGCCGAAGUUAACGCGAUAAGCAUACCGCCUGGGGAGUACGGUCGCAAGAUUGAAACUCAAAUGAAUUGACGGGG